CCCGCUGAACUUAAGCAUAUCAAUAAGCGGAGGAAAAGAAACUAACAAGGAUUCCCCUAGUAACUGCGAGUGAAGCGGGAAAAGCUCAAAUUUAAAAUCUGGCGGUCUUUUGGCUGUCCGAGUUGUAAUCUAGAGAAGUGUUAUCCGCGCUGGACCGUGUACAAGUCUCCUGGAAUGGAGCAUCAUAGAGGGUGAGAAUCCCGUCUUUGACAUGGACUACCAGGGCUUUGUGAUGCGCUCUCAAAGAGUCGAGUUGUUUGGGAAUGCAGCUCAAAAUGGGUGGUAAAUUCCAUCUAAAGCUAAAUAUUGGCGAGAGACCGAUAGCGAACAAGUACCGUGAGGGAAAGAUGAAAAGAACUUUGGAAAGAGAGUUAAACAGUACGUGAAAUUGCUGAAAGGGAAACGCUUGAAGUCAGUCGCGUCGUCCAGGGAUCAACCUUGCUUUUGCUUGGUGCACUUUCUGGUUUGACGGGUCAGCAUCAAUUUUGACCAUUGGAAAAAGGCCAAGGGAAUGUGGCAUCUUUGGAUGUGUUAUAGCCCUUUGUCACAUACAAUGGUUGGGAUUGAGGAACUCAGCACGCCGCAAGGCCGGGUUUUUGAACCACGUACGUGCUUAGGAUGCUGGCAAUAUGGCUUUAAUCGACCCGUCUUGAAACACGG
rnacentral:rRNA from 1 species